CGCUGGCGGCGUGCUUAACACAUGCAAGUCGAACGGUGAACCAGAGCUUGCUCUGGGGAUCAGUGGCGAACGGGUGAGUAACACGUCGGGCAACCUGCCCCAGACUCUGGGAUAACCUCGGGAAACCGAUGCUAAUACCGGAUACGACCACUUCGGACAUCCGACGGUGGUGGAAAGUUUUCGGUCUGGGAUGGGCCCGCGGCCUAUCAGCUAGUUGGUGGGGUAAUGGCCUACCAAGGCGACGACGGGUAGCCGGCCUGAGAGGGCGACCGGCCACACUGGAACUGAGACACGGUCCAGACUCCUACGGGAGGCAGCAGUGAGGAAUAUUGCACAAUGGGCGAAAGCCUGAUGCAGCGACGCCGCGUGAGGGACGACGGCCUUCGGGUUGUAAACCUCUUUCAGCAGGGACGAAGCGAAAGUGACUGUACCUGCAGAAGAAGCACCGGCUAACUACGUG
rnacentral:rRNA from 1 species